rnacentral:rRNA from 1 species
UACGUAGGUCCCGAGCGUUGUCCGGAUUUAUUGGGCGUAAAGCGAGCGCAGGUGGUUUAUUAAGUCUGGUGUAAAAGGCAGUGGCUCAACCAUUGUAUGCAUUGGAAACUGGUAGACUUGAGUGCAGGAGAGGAGAGUGGAAUUCCAUGUGUAGCGGUGAAAUGCGUAGAUAUAUGGAGGAACACCGGUGGCGAAAGCGGCUCUCUGGCCUGUAACUGACACUGACGCUCGAAAGCGUGGGGAGCAAACAGG